rnacentral:rRNA from 1 species
AGAGUUUGAUCAUGGCUCAGAGCGAACGCUGGCGGCAGGCUUAACACAUGCAAGUCGAGCGGGCGUAGCAAUACGUCAGCGGCAGACGGGUGAGUAACGCGUGGGAACAUACCUUUUGGUUCGGAACAACACAGGGAAACUUGUGCUAAUACCGGAUAAGCCCUUACGGGGAAAGAUUUAUCGCCGAAAGAUUGGCCCGCGUCUGAUUAGCUAGUUGGUGAGGUAACGGCUCGCCAAGGCGACGAUCAGUAGCUGGUCUGAGAGGAUGAUCAGCCACAUUGGGACUGAGACACGGCCCAAACUCCUACGGGAGGCAGCAGUGGGGAAUAUUGGACAAUGGGCGCAAGCCUGAUCCAGCCAUGCCGCGUGAGUGAUGAAGGCCCUAGGGUUGUAAAGCUCUUUUGUGCGGGAAGAUAAUGACGGUACCGCAAGAAUAAGCCCCGGCUAACUUCGUGCCAGCAGCCGCGGUAAUACGAAGGGGGCUAGCGUUGCUCGGAAUCACUGGGCGUAAAGGGUGCGUAGGCGGGUCUUUAAGUCAGGGGUGAAAUCCUGGAGCUCAACUCCAGAACUGCCUUUUGAUACUGAGGAUCUUGAGUUCGGGAGAGGUGAGUGGAACUGCGAGUGUAGAGGUGAAAUUCGUAGAUAUUCGCAAGAACACCAGUGGCGAAGGCGGCUCACUGGCCCGAUACUGACGCUGAGGCACGAAAGCGUGGGGAGCAAACAGGAUUAGAUACCCUAGUAGUCC